GCACAUCAUAACUGGAAUUCUCCGCUCUUUCUGCGCAUGCGCGAGGAGUAGUGGGUGCGAGAGAGAAAUGUGGGGACUUUCGGUCCCUGAAAUUUCUCUUCGUCUAGGUACUACGGGGACGAAAGUUGUUAGCGCCGUUCGUCCCUAGCCGAGCUGGCAGCACGAAAUCGACAGAAUGUGUGCCGGCAAGGCGAAGAAGCCCUGUCCGAGGUGAGUUUGUUGCGACGGUAGUAUAUUCAAUUUUUAUAGUCGCAGGGGGAUAGGUUUGGAAGUGAGGUGUCUUCUCGGAUGACUUUAGUGGCAAAGCAUUUUGCAUUGUUCAUUAGUGUCGUUGAGCAAGGUCAACAUGCCGCACACUUCAGGAGAUUCGCGGGAACGGAAACUGUUUAUGAAUUCAACUGUUUGUAUGUGAAAAUAAGAAAACUCAACGUCGCUAUGCACUUUAAUUGUCAUAGACCAUUGUGACGUACAGAGCUGUACAGCAACACUGACAAAGCAUUAUGCUGCGCCGAUGUUUACGAAAAGGCUUCGAUGAAUUGAAACACACAUCGUAUAAAGUAAGAAAAGUGAACGUCGUCAUGCAAUAUUUCAUAGCCGUACAUAGACCAUUGUGAACUCUGUACAGAAACACUCGUCAACCACGUGGUACAGAUUCGUAGUUGUUCUGAGGAUCUUGUAUAUAAUUAAGGAACGCGUAUUGUACCCAAUUCCCGGGCCGUUACGAUCAUUGUAUCCGGCCCGGCGUGCUAGGUGGGCGAAACAAGUGCUCAAAUCACCACAACCACGUCCGAAAUAUCUCUGAAGGCCUGCCAGCCCAAUCAUUAGGCGUCUCUGUGUUUGUACUGUGACAAGAGAGGUGACGGCGAGCGCCGCGAGUAUCGCACUAUAUCCCGUGACAAUGGCCCCUUUACACUCGGCAUGCUUCACCGCAGUACAUUGCGUAUGCUUGACCGCGUAGCAUCCAUGCAUUGCGGCGAAGCUGAUAGUAGGGAACCGGGCAUUAUGCAGCGCUCGAGCCUAGCUUCUUGUCAGUGACUGCGGAUGGAAAACACAUACACGUUCAAGAGCUUUUCGUCGAUCUUUACACCUCUUUAUUGAAUGAAAAGGAUAACGUACGCCUGUGUCCGUGAGGUAAAAGAUCGAUAAAGACUCUGGGCACUUACUUGCAGUGUGUGAAAAAUAGAGAACUUUAUUUAAUGCAGGUGUCCAUGCUCCUGCAGUCCUGUGGUGACCCUGUGGAGCUGGAUCCGGCCUCGUGGAAACACAGCCGGCUCAUCCGUCACAAAGUAGGAGCUGAAGAGAACAGUCUAAUGCUGAUAUUACACCUGAUUAUAUAGUGCUUAACUUGUGGUUAGCAGUGACAAAGGCAUUGCACUAAAGAUUGAGAGUAUGUCUUAAUACGCAGCGCUUAUCUGGCGAAUAGGAGAGCAGAAGGUAUAGGCUCUGUAUUUAUGUGUGCUGCAUUGAGGCCGAGAUCGUAUAGCGACACGUCUUUAUUUUGGUGAAGUGCAUGCCUCCUCGGGCGGAUGACACGAAGCAACUGCCUGCUGCCAUCAUGUGCCUAAUGUACUUAAAGCGAGCAAUAAAGAGAGAAUUUAGUUUCGCACGUCGCCCCUUCGUCUUGUUUAACUCGUCGCUGUUCGGCUGUUACGCAGCGUAGCUCGGCUAGUCCGAACAUGUCAGAUUGCCGGCAUCGUCCCCUGCUCCGCAAAGCACAGUCUGCAGUGAUCGCUUCACCAGCGAUGGACGCUUCUGCAGUGACGGCGUGUUGAACUGGCUGCAAAUCAUGAAGAAAGAAAAUCUCCAAAUUGAUGUGAAAAACAGUUUCGGUUUCGGUUUUCUGCUGCUCGAAGCGCCAUCUGCUUCCUGUAGAAAAGGUGUCAUGGCGGCUUCCUGUUUGACUUUCAGUUGAAGUAGCUGAGGCUCGAAGUUUUCUUGUGCUGGUUAUUCACAACGCAGUGCUAUUAAAUACAUAUGUGUCUACGCUACAAGUGUUUGGGGAACCUCUGGAAAGUCGUGCAUCGAUACUUGUGCGAGUCUUUGUAUACGCGUCAUACCGGGAGAAAAGACGAAAGCAAAAGAAGAAUCUAUAGAGAACCUCGUCGCGUGAGCGUGGAAUGCUGGAGAGGCGCCAUUGUGAGAGAGGAAAGUGAGCGAAGAAGACAGCCACGGCGGAUGCAGCAGCCCGUUAGCCCUUGGGUCCAGGCUUCUGCCUGUGUCUGGUGUUCCUGAGCUUGCGGCUCAACGUCUGCAGCUGGUGUUCAACUGCGGGCUGUCCACCAGAGCACCGACCACGGCUUUGCUCGCGGCUUUCCCUCCAGGCUUAUGUUCCUGUCCCGUCGUGCCACAUCUUCUCGCCUCUCGACUCCAGCUGGGGUACCUCAGCAGCAGCCCACUCGUCUGCAACAUUCCAGCCGUGACUUUGUCCGACGCCUCACACCAACCAUAUGGGGAUGUGUGAACAUUAAUCAUUUGAUUCAGUAGUUUGCAGACUGUUUUGAGACUCCAUACUUAAAGGUGUUCCAUAUUUACGUUUGUCAGCAGUUAUAGGUCAUCGAAUUGAUAUAUAGCAUUAUUUGUGGGUGUGCGACAGAGAACAUACGCGUCAUAUUUCAUUUCCUAAAUCGGUAUGUACUGACCACGUUAGAGAACCUAGUAUGGUAAAAAGAUCUACACCGUGACAAUGGUACACAGGUGCGUGCGAACGCUAAGAAAUGCGGCAUGCGGCAACCAGGCUCCUCCCACGCUUCUUUCUGAAUACGCCAUCUAAUGGAACUGCCCAGAAGUGCACACGUGGCCUUUUGAGGAUCUGAUGCCUGGAACAAUGCAAUAAUUUUCCUUUUCACGCUUUGUGAGCGGUUGCAACAGCAUUCUAGCUACAUUAUCACCAGGAUCAGCAGGUCAUCAGCGGUAAACAAUAGACAAAUCCUGACAUUAUACGACCUAAUAACUGCCUUGCUCAAGGUGGACGACUGAACUAUUUCAUGAUGGGAGUGA